rnacentral:rRNA from 1 species
UACGAAGGGGGCUAGCGUUGUUCGGAAUCACUGGGCGUAAAGGGCGCGUAGGCGGCCUUAUAAGUCGGGGGUGAAAGCCUGUGGCUCAACCACAGAAUUGCCUUCGAUACUGUAGAGCUUGAGACCGGAAGAGGUAAGUGGAACUGCGAGUGUAGAGGUGAAAUUCGUAGAUAUUCGCAAGAACACCAGUGGCGAAGGCGGCUUACUGGUCCGGUUCUGACGCUGAGGCGCGAAAGCGUGGGGAGCAAACAGG